UUAAGCGACUAAGCGUACACGGUGGAUGCCCUGGCAGUCAGAGGCGAUGAAGGACGUGCUAAUCUGCGAUAAGCGUCGGUAAGGUGAUAUGAACCGUUAUAACCGGCGAUUUCCGAAUGGGGAAACCCAGUGUGAUUCGUCACACUAUCAUUACGUGAAUACAUAGCGUAAUGAAGCGAACCGGGGGAACUGAAACAUCUAAGUACCCCGAGGAAAAGAAAUCAACCGAGAUUCCCCAGUAGCGGCGAGCGAACGGGGAGCAGCCCAGAGUCUGAAUCAGCUUGUGUGUUAGUGGAACGGUCUGGAAAGUCCGACGGUACAGGGUGAUAGUCCCGUACACCAAAAUGCACAGGUUGUGAACUCGAAGAGUAGGGCGGGACACGUGGUAUCCUGUCUGAAUAUGGGGGGACCAUCCUCCAAGGCUAAAUACUCCUGACUGACCGAUAGUGAACCAGUACCGUGAGGGAAAGGCGAAAAGAACCCCGGCGAGGGGAGUGAAAAAGAACCUGAAACCGUGUACGUACAAGCAGUGGGAGCCUCUUUAUGGGGUGACUGCGUACCUUUUGUAUAAUGGGUCAGCGACUUAUAUUCUGUAGCAAGGUUAACCGUAUAGGGGAGCCGAAGGGAAACCGAGUCUUAACUGGGCGUUAAGUUGCAGGGUAUAGACCCGAAACCCGGUGAUCUAGCCAUGGGCAGGUUGAAGGUUGGGUAACACUAACUGGAGGACCGAACCGACUAAUGUUGAAAAAUUAGCGGAUGACUUGUGGCUGGGGGUGAAAGGCCAAUCAAACCGGGAGAUAGCUGGUUCUCCCCGAAAGCUAUUUAGGUAGCGCCUCGUGAACUCAUCUUCGGGGGUAGAGCACUGUUUCGGCUAGGGGGUCAUCCCGACUUACCAACCCGAUGCAAACUGCGAAUACCGAAGAAUGUUAUCACGGGAGACACACGGCGGGUGCUAACGUCCGUCGUGAAGAGGGAAACAACCCAGACCGCCAGCUAAGGUCCCAAAGUCAUGGUUAAGUGGGAAACGAUGUGGGAAGGCACAGACAGCCAGGAUGUUGGCUUAGAAGCAGCCAUCAUUUAAAGAAAGCGUAAUAGCUCACUGGUCGAGUCGGCCUGCGCGGAAGAUGUAACGGGGCUAAACCAUGCACCGAAGCUGCGGCAGCGACACUAUGUGUUGUUGGGUAGGGGAGCGUUCUGUAAGCCGUUGAAGGUGUAUCGUGAGGUAUGCUGGAGGUAUCAGAAGUGCGAAUGCUGACAUAAGUAACGAUAAUGCGGGUGAAAAACCCGCACGCCGGAAGACCAAGGGUUCCUGUCCAACGUUAAUCGGGGCAGGGUGAGUCGACCCCUAAGGCGAGGCCGAAAGGCGUAGUCGAUGGGAAACAGGUUAAUAUUCCUGUACUUGGUGUUACUGCGAAGGGGGGACGGAGAAGGCUAUGUUAGCCGGGCGACGGUUGUCCCGGUUUAAGCAUGUAGGCGGAGGUUCCAGGUAAAUCCGGUACCUUUUUAACGCUGAGGUGUGAUGACGAGGCACUACGGUGCUGAAGUAACAAAUGCCCUGCUUCCAGGAAAAGCCUCUAAGCAUCAGGUAACACGAAAUCGUACCCCAAACCGACACAGGUGGUCAGGUAGAGAAUACCAAGGCGCUUGAGAGAACUCGGGUGAAGGAACUAGGCAAAAUGGUGCCGUAACUUCGGGAGAAGGCACGCUGAUAUGUAGGUGAAGUGAUUUACUCAUGGAGCUGAAAUCAGUCGAAGAUACCAGCUGGCUGCAACUGUUUAUUAAAAACACAGCACUGUGCAAACACGAAAGUGGACGUAUACGGUGUGACGCCUGCCCGGUGCCGGAAGGUUAAUUGAUGGGGUUAUCCGUAAGGAGAAGCUCUUGAUCGAAGCCCCGGUAAACGGCGGCCGUAACUAUAACGGUCCUAAGGUAGCGAAAUUCCUUGUCGGGUAAGUUCCGACCUGCACGAAUGGCGUAAUGAUGGCCAGGCUGUCUCCACCCGAGACUCAGUGAAAUUGAACUCGCUGUGAAGAUGCAGUGUACCCGCGGCAAGACGGAAAGACCCCGUGAACCUUUACUAUAGCUUGACACUGAACACUGGUCCUUGAUGUGUAGGAUAGGUGGGAGGCUUUGAAGUGUGGACGCCAGUCUGCAUGGAGCCAUCCUUGAAAUACCACCCUUUAAUGGCUGGUGUUCUAACGUGGACCCGUAAUCCGGGUUGCGGACAGUGUCUGGUGGGUAGUUUGACUGGGGCGGUCUCCUCCUAAAGAGUAACGGAGGAGCACGAAGGUUAGCUAAUCCUGGUCGGACAUCAGGAGGUUAGUGCAAAGGCAUAAGCUAGCUUGACUGCGAGAGUGACGGCUCGAGCAGGUGCGAAAGCAGGUCUUAGUGAUCCGGUGGUUCUGAAUGGAAGGGCCAUCGCUCAACGGAUAAAAGGUACUCCGGGGAUAACAGGCUGAUACCGCCCAAGAGUUCAUAUCGACGGCGGUGUUUGGCACCUCGAUGUCGGCUCAUCACAUCCUGGGGCUGAAGUAGGUCCCAAGGGUAUGGCUGUUCGCCAUUUAAAGUGGUACGCGAGCUGGGUUUAGAACGUCGUGAGACAGUUCGGUCCCUAUCUGCCGUGGGCGCUGGAGAAUUGAGGGGGGGCUGCUCCUAGUACGAGAGGACCGGAGUGGACGCAUCACUGGUGUUCGGGUUGUCAUGCCAAUGGCAUUGCCCGGUAGCUAAAUGCGGAAGAGAUAAGUGCUGAAAGCAUCUAAGCACGAAACUUGCCCCGAGAUGAGUUCUCCCUGAGACUUUAAGUCUCCUGAAGGAACGUUGAAGACGACGACGUUGAUAGGUCGGGUGUGUAAGUGUAGCGAUACAUUGAGCUAACCGAUACUAAUGAACCGUGAGGCUUAACCUU
rnacentral:rRNA from 1 species